rnacentral:rRNA from 1 species
UACGGAGGGUGCAAGCGUUGUUCGGAAUCAUUGGGCGUAAAGCGCGUGUAGGCGGCUUGGCAAGUCAGUUGUGAAAGCCCGGGGCCCAACCCCGGAACUGCAUCUGAAACUGCCUGGCUAGAGUCCCGGAGAGGAAGGCAGAAUUCCCGGUGUAGGGGUGAAAUCCGUAGAUAUCGGGAGGAAUACCAGCGGCGAAGGCGGCCUUCUGGACGGUGACUGACGCUGAGACGCGAAAGCGUGGGGAGCAAACAGG